rnacentral:lncRNA from 1 species
CUCACAGAUUUCAUGCAGAGAUCUAGAGCUGGCAUUUUAAAUAAAACCUCAGGAGAUGCUGAUGCAGGUGGUCCGUGGCUCACAGGCCCUAGAAACAGCAGCCUGGCCUAAGGCCCGUGAGACAGCAAACUUCGCAGAAGAGAGGGUUUCUUACUUUGUGUUUCCCAAAGUCAUGCCAAGAAUUCAGUAG